GCCGCCGCGCAGCCGCUUCCCGCGCCCGGUCGGUGUCUCCGGAGCCCCCCCACACACACCGCGCCGACACCGCCGGCCCCGGCCCUCACAGACCGCUGGGCUCGUCCUUUCCAUCCUCAGUCCCUUGCCUCAACGAGUGUAAAAACUGUUGGUCGUGAUGUUGAAAGCUGCAGGCUUUCGCUCCAAGCCCGGACGGCGAACACCCCAAGGAAGACGAGAGACCGGCUUGUUGCAAAAGCAAGAGGUGAGCUUUAUUGCGGAGCUCCGGGCCGUCUCGUAUCUCACGCAGGAGACAGAGGAGGCGACCCGAGGCUUUGCAGGUGCUGGGUUAGUGAGAAAACACUGGGCUGGAGAAGAGCAGGAAAGAACAGGCAGCUGGGUCAUUGAAACACCAUCACUCAGUUUUGCUACUACCCAGACGACAGCCAAAGUAUGUGCUGUAGAAGAUACCACAUCUGAUGUUUUCCUUUAGGUGACAAUAAAAGGGGAAAAGAUCUUGCUGUAUCUGGUUCUGUUCUUGAAAAGACAUGACAAAGCUCCAACACAGAUGACAGUGAAACUACCACAUCUAUUGUCAAAACAAUCCCAGGAUUGCCUUUCAAGGAAAAUCCAGCAGUUCACACAGACAGGCUUCAGCAGUGCUUAAAUUCUGAUCCUUUGAACACACAUAGAACUGGAAAUGAGCAACAGAGUUUUCAAAAUCUUGAAGAAAGAAACUUUGUCUUUCUUGGCAAGAAAAUGAAGCCACCAUCAAUUCUGGAAACAGCACCA